UUCGAAUCACUCUAUUUCAAUAUGAUUGUAGUACAAAGCUUCUGUAUAUCAAUGACAGCUUAUGAAUACAAAUCCUCUGUUUUACAUCCCCUGUUUUCUGUCUCUCUAUCACAGCACGUAUCAGCUAUACAAUGCAGAGCAUCCAUUGAUGAUUGCUCUCUAAGCUCUAUCUCUCUAUUUUGCUUCUAUCUUUGCUUGCUUCUUCAUCGAAGAAGAAGAAGACUACUUAUAUCAGAAUAGAACAACAAACUGAAUACAACUAACUGUUUCUUAAUUUGUUUCACCACUCUAAACCGAAUAACAGCACGUGUGUCAGUUGAGAUCUACACGACUUGGCGAUCCACAUCUUCUUUAUUUCAGGCUUUCUUAAUCAUUGAUAACAAUCCAUGUCUGCCUUCAUCACGAGCUCUUCACCGUUGAUCAUCAGCUCAUUGUUACUUUCCCGUUUUUGUUUUUCCCACGUGUUCUUUGCUUCGCUUUGCUGCUCCGUAUAACUCUUUCUCUUCAUAGUUCUUUCUCUUCCAGCAUCAGUGUUAUCUGCUGAAUUUAUA
rnacentral:lncRNA from 1 species